rnacentral:rRNA from 1 species
GUGGGUAGUUUGACUGGGGCGGUCUCCUCCCAAAGAGUAACGGAGGAGCACGAAGGUUAGCUAAUCCUGGUCGGACAUCAGGAGGUUAGUGCAAUGGCAUAAGCUAGCUUGACUGCGAGCGUGACGGCGCGAGCAGGUGCGAAAGCAGGUCAUAGUGAUCCGGUGGUUCUGAAUGGAAGGGCCAUCGCUCAACGGAUAAAAGGUACUCCGGGGAUAACAGGCUGAUACCGCCCAAGAGUUCAUAUCGACGGCGGUGUUUGGCACCUCGAUGUCGGCUCAUCACAUCCUGGGGCUGAAGUAGGUCCCAAGGGUAUGGCUGUUCGCCAUUUAAAGUGGUACGCGAGCUGGGUUUAGAACGUCGUGAGACAGUUCGGUCCCUAUCUGCCGUGGGCGCUGGAGAAUUGAGGGGGGCUGCUCCUAGUACGAGAGGACCGGAGUGGACGCAUCACUGGUGUU